UAUCAGUCUUUUUUUCUCUGCGAAGCUCUCGCAAGGACUAGCAAAGGGGGACCAAGGCCAAGGUGUUCCGUUAGGGGCUCACGGGAAAGUUAGUGGCGUUGGCGCGUGCUAGUCUUAAGAGCACGGACUCCGCUUGUGGCACUAGAUCGGAAGGUCGGGAAAGCACAGGCCGCCGGAGAGGUGGGGUCAGGGGUCUAAUACAGCUGCGUCAGGUAGAGCGGGCGGAGGCGCAGGCGCGUCAAGGGGAUGGGACGAUCGCGGCGCCGCCGCCGGGGCAGCAUGAAGGGGCACGGGAAGGUGGAGGUCUGAAGCGUCAUGGGAUGGACCGGCUGCCACCGGGGGCGCGUCGGCCGCGGCCGCAUGUUGCGGCAGAUGGGGUACGGGGUUCAGGUCGUCCGUGUUGUUGACAAGGUCUCUCUGAGCGUCUAUUAGUCGGGUCUCCGAGAGCGGUGCCACUUCCGACGAUAACGUCUAUUACUGUUUCUGUUCUUUCAACUUCGUUUGUUUUUCCGUCAAGGAGCUUUCCGUCGACCCGUUACGACCCUCCUAGACUGCAAUCGACUGACCGGACUUUUACUGAAGGCAAACAAAACACCACUAGAACCUUUACUUCACUUACUACUACAAGACUGGUUCUGAAAAAGUUUUAUAGGUAGGAAGUUGUACCGAUUCCAAUAUGCCCUAUUCAGAUGCCCAUUUUGAUUUCCGAUGCCCAAACAAUCAAAACGGUUACGUAGUCUAGAACGUCGUCGUGACUUUCUCUACUUGCCAUUUAUACAACCUUUAGCUGGUUAGUUCGAUGCCUUCUCGUGUACCUUCUUAUCUUAUCUAAUGCUUCGAAACGACUUCGGCUUCUGAGCCGGUGUCUUCUUCGAGUUUCACGUCGGUUCUUCACAAAAUGUGUUCACUUCGUUUAUUAAGAGGAACAAACAGUAGUGUCAUAGCUGUUACUACACGUUACGCGUAUAAGUUGUCAACUACAUUCGGAAAUCGUAACGGGCACAGUCACGUAAGGUCAAAUACUAACAUUACAUCCACAUUUAUAGGUUUACUGAUCAUAGAAACACCUGUAGUUGAUACAUAAAACUACUUACUAACUACCGUUUGCGAUACCUAACAAGAGCGAUCUCUUAUUAAACAAACCCUUUGUAAAAAACGAUGUUGUC
rnacentral:rRNA from 1 species